rnacentral:rRNA from 1 species
CGUGGGUAACCUGCCCAAGAGAUCGGGAUAACACCUGGAAACAGAUGCUAAUACCGGAUAACAACAGAUGAUGCCUAUCAACUGUUUAAAAGAUGGUUCUGCUACCACUCUUGGAUGGACCUGCGGUGCAUUAGCUAGUUGGUAGGUAACGGCCUACCAAGGCGAUGAUGCAUAGCCGAGUUGAGAGACUGAUCGGCCACAUUGGGACUGAGACACGGCCCAAACUCCUACGGGAGGCAGCANCC